rnacentral:tRNA from 1 species
GGGCGCGUAGCUCAAUGGUAGAGCAGUGGCCUUUUAAGCCAUUUGUUGGGAGUUCGAUCCUCCCCGCGCUCA